GUUUACGGGGAGCCCGUGAACGCAGCACGAGGAUCAACCGCGGAGAGAGUAAAACUCGCAGCAACCGAAGAAACAGCGAACACAACAAGUUUAACACAAUAAUGCGGCUCUGACGCUUCUGCUGCGGAGCGCGGGGACCUAUUUAUUGAUCGAGUCUAUGUCCGUUAACAACUUUUAAUCGGGGGAAUUUAGUCGACGUGUUUGUUGAGACGGAGUUCUGCUUUCAGUCGGAUGGAAGUGAGCGAGACGGCUCAGUUUUAAAAGACAGACAGGUCGGUUUAACGGACAUUUCCUGCGUCGCCGGUUCGAUGUCCACAUUAAACUUCGCAGAGGAGCUGGACUUCAGGCUGAUCUUCGAGGACGACGGCAGACAGACUGCAGGUCCAGAUCUCAAUGUGAGGACACCUCCAGCCUCCACACAGGCUCUGACCGAGCAGCCCAUCUUCCAGGAGCUGCAGAGUCACCCUUUAUGCUUCUCCACUGCAGACGGGUACCAAUGCCAGGGGCCCCAGUACGGGGCCCAGGGGAACCCCAGAGCCUUUGACUGCCCGAGUAUCCAGAUCACCUCCAUCGCACCUAAUAAUCAUGUUGACCCAGGCAGUAGCCAGGGUGCUUUGGCGGCGGGCGGGGCAGAGGGGGGUUACCCCGAUGUGUCCUGGUCCAGAGGCCAGCUCUACCUGCCCCUGGACCCCUGCUACCGCGAUACGGCGCUCUGCCCGAGCCCCUGCAGCAGCCUGUCCUCCAGGAGCUGGAUGUCCGACCUGUCCUCCUGCGAGUCCUUCUCCCACGUCUACGAUGACGUGGAGGGGGAACUGAGCGACGCCGCCCGCCUCGCCCUCGGGUCCCCCCUCGGGUCACCUGUAGGGUCCCCGGGCUGCGGGGGCGGGGCAUUCGGGGUGGAGCUGUGGCAGCAGAUGUACCAGCAUCCUCAGGCCUUCAGCCCGGCGCUGUCGCCUCAUCAGUCGCCCCGUCAGUCGCCGUGCCACUCCCCUCGCACCAGUGUCACAGAGGAGAGCUGGCUGCACCGCCGGCCCACCUCCAGGCCGUCAUCCAGACCGACCUCCCCCUGCGGGAAGAGACGCCACGCCAGUGCCGACCCCCAGGCCCGCUCGCCGUCCCCUCACCACUCCCCCAGCCCCACACCGGGCGCCUCUCCACGAGGCAGCGUGACGGACGACACCUGGGCGGGAAGCCCCGCCGGCGCCCUGGGAUCCCUUCUGAUGUCCGGCUACCAGGAACUGGACGUCCCCUCCAAGACCAGGAGGACGUCGGGGAGCCAGCUGGGGCUCGUGACCGGUCAGGGAGACCCCGGGCUGGAGACCUUCCUGGAUUCCCCCGGGGAGGAGGGACGUGAACAGGACGGCCUGGCCGAGCUCUUCCUUCAGGUUCCCUCCCACUUCAGCUGGAACAAACCCAAACCUGGAAACCCUCCUCUCUUCAGGUCCUCAUCGCCCCCUCCUCUGGACUGGCCCCUGCCCAGCCAGUUUAACCAGUGUGAGCUGAAGCUGGAGGUCCAGCCCAGAUCCUACCACAGGGCGCAUUACGAGACGGAGGGCAGCAGAGGGUCCAUUAAGGCGGCUACUGUAGGACAUCCUGUCAUCAAGUUGACCGGAUACAGCGAACAGCCGGUCAGCCUGCUGUUAUUCAUCGGCACUGCAGACGACCGCUACCUUCGCCCUCAUUCCUUCUACCAAGUCCACCGGGUGACGGGGAAGAUGGUUACCACCAGCUGCCAGGAGAAAAUCGUGAGUGGCACCAAAGUCCUGGAGAUCCCCCUGCUUCCAGAAAACAACAUGUCCGCCAGCAUUGACUGUGCCGGCAUCUUGAAGCUGCGUAACGCCGACAUCGAGCUGAAGAAAGGAGAGACGGACAUCGGGCGUAAAAACACGAGGGUGCGAGUUGUGUUCAGGGCCGCCGUCCCUCAGCCGGACGGCCGGAUGCUGUGGCUGCAAACGGCAUCUAUUCCUGUGGAGUGCUCCCAGCGCUCGGGCCAGGAGCUUCCCCAGGUGGAGAGCUUCAGUCCAGCCAGCUGCUCUGUGGACGGAGGAGAGGAGCUGCUCGUCACCGGAUCCAACAUCUCAGCACAGUCCAGGGUUGUUUUCAUGGAGAAAGGGCCCGAUGGAAGGUCACUGUGGGAAACGGACGCCAGAGUUGUACCGGAAAAAAGCAGCAAAUCCAGCAUCGUGGUGGAGGUUCCUCCUUACAAUAAGAAGACCACGGAUCCGGUUCAAGUCCAGUUUUACGUCUCAAACGGGAGGAAAAGAAGAAGUCUAACACAGAACUUCACCUACCUGCCUGCAGUCCGACGUCACCUCCCUGCUGAGGUCAAACAGGAGCGCUGGGAGGCGGACCACAAUCCACCUGGCUUCAGUCCGGCCUCCUGCCAGGUGCCCUCCCAUGACCAAGUACUCGGCCCAGACGUGGUUUAUUAUGAUUCCUGUGACGUCCCGGUGCAUCGCGGUCCUCCUUCCCAGAACGUGCCUCGUCUUCAUCACCCCCCUCCCUCCUCUGUCCCCCUGCAGACCCCCUCAAUGUUUCCUCCCACGUCCUCAAUCCCUCUUCACACCUCCGCCUCGCAGGCCUCCUCUGUCCCCCAUCAGAUCUUGAUUCCUCUUCAGGCCUCUUCUGUCCCCCAUCAGACCUUCACCAUCCCGCCUCAGACCUCCUCCCUCCCUCCCCAGACCGCCUCAGUCUCUCCACAGAUCUCUCCUCAAAUCUCCGCGAUGCCUCCCCAGGCUUCUUCGGCGCCCCUUCAGACCUUCACCAUCCCCCGUUCCACAUCCUCUGGUGGACCUCAGAGGGAACACUUUCCAUCUCAGAGUUCCUCAAGAGCCUUUGUGACCCCUGCUGACCCCCAGAAGGACACUCUGCUCUCUAGCCCAGGAGAGGCGCAGAGCAUCAAGCAGGAGCCUGAAGACCAGCCAAAUCUGGGAUCCCUGGGCCUCCAGGAGAUCACUCUGGAUGAUGCACUUGAAGUCCUGGAACUUUGGGGGAGGUGGUGAUGUGGAGGCUCCGUCCUCGUCUUCCUCCAUCUCCUGGUUCAGCUUUGCAAGGACCGCUUUGAAUAUGUCUUCAGUAACAUCUGGUUGCUUCGUUUCCUGGUUCAGGAGGUUCAGUCGAGGAUCCGCCGCCGCCACGACUACCUGCGAGACCCGGCAAGGGUAGCUAAAGAACAAGACCGGAUAGAAACCGAAACAUCAGACGGCAGCUUCGUUCAGAGAGCAGUUGCUGAAGCAGCGGGAGCGAACAGGCUGAGCGAACAGGCCGAGCGAACAGGCGAGCGUCUCGCCGCCACCUGUCGCUCGUCGUCAGAGGCUGGAACGGAAACGAUCAAACAAACAAGAGCUUGACGUGAUAUGAUGUCUGUGAAGUCAGCAAAGUCUCGCUUUAACCUGACGUCGUCUUUCCAGGUUUCCCGUAGCGUCUGCAGAUGAGCUGGCAGCCGCCGACCGUGUCGACAUGGUCGCCUCUUCUUCUUCAGAAGAAGAAGAACUCUGAGGAGUGUGGACACAUCAUGUCCGACACGCUGGAUGUCCCUGAACGCCGGUGAAGGACGUGUGGAGGCCAGAGAGGCCAGAGAGGCGGCCGCCGGCCCUGGAGUCGCCACUCAGCCGCACAUCAACCACUUCUUCCACUUUGAUGGUGGGACAUUAAAGUACAUCUCUCUUAAGCUGCUUUCAUCAGUUCCUCUGCUGCUCCGUUAUCUUUUGUAUCGGGACAUUAAAGGUCUGUAGCGCCAUGUUGUUCUGAGAGAACACAAGUGUUUGAUGGUGAAAAUAGAGACACAGCUUUACUAUUCUUAGAUUAAAGUUUGUCCUUUUUAGGACAUCUCAUCUGUGCAUCAGUCCAAGUCUCAGCUGUGCUUUGAUGAUGGUUCCACUGUGACAGCAUGUUAAAGGAAAAGUUCGGCUCUCCAAUAAUCAGUAUUUUCUCUAUUAAAAGGGAAUCUAAUGACGGUACUGUCAAUAUAAAACUAAAGCCAGCAGGUCAUUAGCUUAGCUUAGCAUAAAGACAGGAAGCAAAGGGAGACCGCUAGCCUGGCUCUGUCCAAAAUUAAACCAACAUCACAUAUAAAGCUCACUAAUGAACAAGCGUCUCAUUUAGUUUAAUCCGCAAACAAACAGAAAGUAUAUCUCCCAAAAAUGCUGAACUUGCAGUAUUUUUGCACGCUUAAACAAACCGAUGCAUGUUAACACGCUGAUGCUAAGCUAUGUGUGAUGUUAGCAUAUUCAUGUUGCAGUGUCCUGUAAUGCUCCAUCCACAGGACUGUCCACCUCCGACAGUGAUUAAUACGUUUAUUUAUAUUUAUUGUAUAACUGAUUGAUACUUCAGUGUUUGUCUGUGGGAACCAAUAAACUGAGUUAAAUCGA